GAGAGGAGUUGGGAGCACAUCCAAUACCUGGAUUUCAAGGGAAGAGGCCAACUGCAUUCAUCAUCAACCCACCCAGCAUAUAUCUGCAACACAGUUAAAUCUCUGUUCAUUCCCAGUUUCCAGAGUAGUAAGAAAGAUAAAAAUGCAUCUGUGCUAUGGCAGUCCAUGGAAGCUAAGAUUCUUCACAGUAUUUCACGAGCACAAUAUUAAUUCUC